UGGGGAAUUUUGGACAAUGGGCGAAAGCCUGAUCCAGCAAUGCCGCGUGUGUGAAGAAGGCCUUCGGGUUGUAAAGCACUUUUGUCCGGAAAGAAAUCCUCUGGGUUAAUACCUCGGGGGAUGACGGUACCGGAAGAAUAAGCACCGGCUAACUACGUGCCAGCAGCCGCGGUAAUACGUAGGGUGCAAGCGUUAAUCGGAAUUACUGGGCGUAAAGCGUGCGCAGGCGGUUUUGUAAGACGGAUGUGAAAUCCCCGGGCUUAACCUGGGAACUGCAUUCGUGACUGCAAGGCUGGAGUAUGGCAGAGGGGGGUAGAAUUCCACGUGUAGCAGUGAAAUGCGUAGAGAUGUGGAGGAAUACCGAUGGCGAAGGCAGCCCCUGGGCCAAUACUGACGCUCAUGCACGAAAGCGUGGGGAGCAAACAGGAUUAGAUACCCUGGUAGUCCACGCCCUAAACGAUGUCAACUAGUUGUUGGGGAUUCAUUUCCUUAGUAACGUAGCUAACGCGUGAAGUUGACCGCCUGGGGAGUACGGUCGCAAGAUUAAAACUCAAAUGAAUUGAC
rnacentral:rRNA from 1 species